rnacentral:tRNA from 3 species
GCCGAAGUGGCGGAAUAGGCAGACGCAAGGGACUUAAAAUCCCUCGGUCCGUGAGGGCCGUACCGGUUCGAUUCCGGUCUUCGGCACCA